rnacentral:rRNA from 1 species
AACGAACGCUGGCGGCAGGCUUAACACAUGCAAGUCGAACGCAUCGCAAGAUGAGUGGCAGACGGGUGAGUAACGCGUGGGAAUCUACCCAGUUCUACGGAACAACAGUUGGAAACGACUGCUAAUACCGUAUACGCCCUACGGGGGAAAGAUUUAUCGGAAUUGGAGGAGCCCGCGUAAGAUUAGCUAGUUGGUGGGGUAAUGGCCUACCAAGGCGACGAUCUUUAGCUGGUCUGAGAGGAUGAUCAGCCACACUGGGACUGAGACACGGCCCAGGCUCCUACGGGAGGCAGCAGUGGAGAAUAUUGGACAAUGGGCGCGAGCCUGAUCCAGCCAUGCCGCGUGAGUGAUGAAGGCCUUAGGGUUGUAAAGCUCUUUCACCGAUGAAGAUAAUGACGGUAGUCGGAGAAGAAGCCCCGGCUAACUUCGUGCCAGCCGCCGCAGUAAAAC